ACAAGAACCGUGUGUAGAGUGACUGUGGGAUAGUGAAGUGCAGAGACAGAGGGUGCUUCUCUAUUGAUUUAUCCUUCUGUAACCUCUUUUUGUUUUUUUUUUCCCCUGCAGACUGUUUUUUGGGAGCUGGUCUGGCCAGGCAGAUUUGACUGGAGCCAGAGUGUAGAUACAAGGCUGAGCUCAGAUAAACAGCUUCUUGUUUGAGCCGCCGCUGCGCUGAGCUGCUCUGUGCUGAGCUGAGCAGGCUGAUAAGAAAGGCAGUGGCGGCGUCGGGGCCGUGGCAGCCAAGAGAAUGGACCAGGGCCUGGGGAUGUAGACACUCUGACUGCACCCUGCCCUCCCCUGACCGCUUCUCCUCCCAGCCCUAAUCUCUCCUCUUUUCUUCUCUCCCUCGCUCUUUUCACAGCAAAGGGCAGAGCUGCCUAAUUGCCUGGUGAGAGUGAAAUGUAUCAGUGGACCGCAUCAGCAUGGGGAGCAGGAGAAGAGAUGCAGACACGGCCGGCGGGUCAGACCCAGGAAGAGACGUGACCUCGAUGACUAUCCAUAUUUAAAGUCAGCGCCUGAGGACUGAUGGCGGUUUCCUUUGUGCUCCUGCUUAUUUUUGCUGACCUGGAAGAGGCAGACGGACACUGAACAGAGCCUGGGUAGGGGGUGGAGGAAACAGGGGGCUCUCCUGAAAUAUGGUCCUCUGCAUUCGGGAGGGUGAGGUGGAAUAACAGCAUCAUAUAGCUCUCAGGUGUCAUGCUGUCUGGCAGGGGGUUGGGAAUUGGGGAGGAGGCAGAAAGUGGGCUUAGAUGAAAUGAAAGCACUAUAUGGAGAAAAAGUGAUUAAAGAAAUACAGAAUUAUUUAUUAUUGUUAAUGUAUUAUAUUUAUACUAUUGUUUGAAAAAUCAAUAGUAUAAAUCACACACACACACACACACACACACACACACACUAUAACACUGCAAAACAAAAAAUAAGUGAAUGAAUAAAUAAAAUUAUUUAUCAUUACUAAUGAUAAUU
ensembl:lncRNA